CCUACGGGGGGCAGCAGUGAGGAAUAUUGGUCAAUGGGCGUAAGCCUGAACCAGCCAAGUAGCGUGAAGGAUGACUGUUCUAUGGAUUGUAAACCUCUUUUAUAAAGGAAUAAAGUGCGGCACGUGUGCCGUUUUGUAUGUACUUUAUGAAUAAGGAUCGGCUAACUCCGUGCCAGCAGCCGCGGUAAUACGGAGGAUCCGAGCGUUAUCCGGAUUUAUUGGGUUUAAAGGGAGCGUAGAUGGGUUGUUAAGUCAGUUGUGAAAGUUUGCGGCUCAACCGUAAAAUUGCAAUUGAUACUGGCAGUCUUGAGUACAGUUGAGGUAGGCGGAAUUCGUGGUGUAGCGGUGAAAUGCUUAGAUAUCACGAAGAACUCCGAUUGCGAAGGCAGCUUACUAAACUGCCACUGACAUUGAUGCUCGAAAGUGUGGGUAUCAAACAGGAUUAGAUACCCGAGUAGUC
rnacentral:rRNA from 1 species